UGCCAGCAGCCGCGGUAAUACGGAGGGUGCAAGCGUUGUUCGGAAUUAUUGGGCGUAAAGCGCGUGUAGGCGGUUCGUUAAGUCUGAUGUGAAAGCCCGGGGCUCAACCCCGGAAGUGCAUUGGAAACUGGCGAACUUGAGUACGGGAGAGGAAAGUGGAAUUCCUGGUGUAGAGGUGAAAUUCGUAGAUAUCAGGAGGAACAACAGCGGCGAAGGCGGCUUUCUGGACUGUCACUGACGCUGAGGUGCGAAAGCGUGGGGAGCGAACAGGAUUAGAUA
rnacentral:rRNA from 1 species